GGGCGAGUGGCGGAACUGGUAGACGCGCUGGAUUUAGGUUCCAGUCCCGAAAGGGGUCAGGGUUCGAGUCCCUGCUUGCCCA
rnacentral:tRNA from 1 species